UUUAGCUCAUUUAGUGAACAAUGUCACUGAAGUGGUCUGUCUGUAGCUGGGCCGGUGCUGUGGCUGCGUGAGCCACCCAGGGACGAUGCACUUUCUGCGGUGAGGCGUCUCGAGCAACUCUGGGUGUUGAGCUGCGGUUCCCCAACAAUUGUGGAGGCUGAGGACUGUAAGUAACGCAUGGAACACAAAAUUUUAUAUAUAUAUAUAUAUAUAUAUAUAAAAACACAUUUCAUAAAGUGCGAAGUACAAGUUAAAAUCAGUUCACAUUAAAAUCAGAUUAUUUUCAAAAUUGUGCAAAAUGCAGUUUUUCAUUAUCAAUAUUGCACAGUAUAUUUUUAAAAUACCAUAUCGAUUUAAAACCACCUUCCCUGUUCUCCAGCUUGUUUUUCCUGCUUUUAUAAAUUGCCAUUUUUGCCUCUCCAGAAAUGAAGUUUAGCAGUUGGAAUUUUUCUUUUUCUUUCGCACUGUACCCCGCUCCCAUGAUAAAAAUUGCCUCAGUAAAAUUUACAUUAAAGAGACUAAAAACAUGUUUUAAAAUAGAGAAGAAAACCCUGAGUCUCUCGCACUCUAUAAAAACAUGAUAAAUAGUCUCUCGUUCGUGGCAAAAAGGGCAAUCAUUAAGAGCAGUAGGAUUAAUAACAGAGAUAAAAGCAUUAGAAGCAAUGGCACCAUGUAAAAUUCUCCACUGGAGGUCACCUGUCGGUUUCCUUAUGGGGGGCUUAUAUAGUACAGAGGCUCUGCUGCUCAGUCCGACCCUGUGGAUGAUCUUCACACAGUUGCUGUAGAUUGUUUUCUUCUUUGCUUUGUGUAGCGUUGAGUUGUCUCGCUCCAUGACUUUUAAAAGGGGGCUGGUGUGUUCUCCAAGCCCUGGGCUCAGGACGAUGUCUGGGAAGGGGUCUGCUGGGUCCGGGGCUUUUCUUUGUUCUUUAUAGUCUUGGAGGAGGCGUUUUUCUUUAUCUGUGAUCCUCCUGGCCCAGAGCUCCAGGAUUCUCUGGGCCACCCGGGCAGACUUUAGCCUCAGCAGGGAUCCCAGGGCCUGGACAUCCUUCAGCUCCGGCCCCACCGCCUCCACCAGAUGUUUCAGGGUGAGGGUCUGGUGAGGGACUGGACUAGCGCUGCCGUCAGGCCGGGAGUGGUAUCGUUGGUGAUGUCCAGUCUGGCCCCGUGGAUGAGCGGUUCUUUGAGCAACCAGUACAGAGAGUCGGCUGAGGAACACCUUUUCUGAUACAACAGAUUCCAUGAUUUAAAAACACUUAUGUAAAAAGGAGGUAGCCCAGUUAAAUGUAACAAUUUAGAAUCAGUUAAAAACAGAACAUCAUCCAACCCCAGGUGAUUGGCACGCCUCAGGAUGCAGCUGGUCACACCUCUCCACACCAGAUCUGUCGGGCCGCUCAGGUACCUCUGUAAAAACUAUUUGAUUCUAAAAGUAGCAGUCCGACUGGCCAGGUGGACAAGGCCCUGUCCCCACUCCUCUCUGGCUAAAAACAGCACCCCCUGUGACACACAGUGUAGACCGUCCCAAAAGAAAUUUAACAUUUUGCGCUGUAUGACUGCCAGCAGCCCUGGGGGAGGGUCUACACACACUAGUUUGUGCCACAGUUGGGAUGCUACCAAGUUGUUUAAAACCAGCGCUCUGCCUCUAAAAGACAUCUGAGGGAGCAGCCAUUUCCAUUUCUGCAUUUUGUCUUCAAGUUUUUCUGUGACGUUCUCCCAGUUCUUUUUAGCUAUAUUUUCCCUCCCUAAAAAUAUGCCUAAAUAUUUAAAACCAUCUCUGCCCCACUGCAGAUUUUGGGGGAGAACCGGGAGACCGCCACGCCAUUCGCCGACAGCGAGGGCUUCGCUUUUGCUCCAGUUGACCCUCGCUGCCGACGCUAUGUUAAAAUCCUUGACUAUUUUUUCUAAAAGGUCUGCAUCCCUCUGAGUUCUAAUAAAAACCACAAGGUCGUCCGCGUACGCAGAUAAAACCAUGUCUUCAUUAAAACCCGGUAAAACCACACCUUGGAGGCUGGAGCGUAUCUUGUGGAGGAGGGGUUCGAGGGAGAGUGCGUAGAGCAUCGCCGACAGAGCGCAGCCCUGGCGGACCCCUCUGCACACUCUAAAAGGAGCACACAGACUGCCGUUGACCUUCAGGACGCUCUCAAUGUCACUAUACAACACCUUGAUCUUAGCUAUGAAACCGGCGCUGAACCCAAAACUCUCCAGAACUUUCCAGAGGAAUUGGUGUUCAACGUGAUCAAAAGCUUUUUCCUGGUCUAGGGAAAUCAGACCAGUAUCUAAUCCCAGUGAACUGGAGACAUCCAAAACAUCCCGAAUGAGGUGGACAUUGUCCACCAUUGACCUGCCGGGCACACUGUAUGUCUGAUCCCGGUGGACAAGAUGCUCCAUGAGUCCCCCCAGCCUGGAGGCCAGGACCUUGGACAGGAGUCUGUAAUCCACACACGGCACCGACACAGGCCGCCAGUUCCUGAUGUCCUGCAGGUUGCCCUUCUUCGGAAGAAGGGCGAGCACCGCCCUCCGGCAGGACACUAGCAAGGAACCAGAGGCCAGACUCUCGUUCAGGACGUCUGGUGCCAAGACAUCCCAGAAGGCCCUGUAAAAUUUAGCGGUGAGUCCAUCUAAGCCAGGAGCCCGACCGCCCUGCAUGUUCUGUAGGGCGGCUUCCAGUUCCUCCAUCUGGAGGGGUCGCUCGAGGUGGGAGUUCUGCUCCGCCGACACCUGAGGCAGUUCUUGACAGAACCCCUCCAGUGGUGUGGGCCCCUGAGCAUGCUCGCUGGUGUACAAUGACGAGAAGAAACUCACCGGCCGCUCCCGAAUCUGGUAUGGUUCCGUGAGUUCCUGGCCCGUGUCGGAUAACAGUGCGUGGAUCACUUUCCCCUGCCUGUUCCUCCUCUCCAGGCCAAAGAAGAAGCUCGUUGGAGCAUCCAUCUCCUUGACGAGUGCACCCUGUACUUUCCUGUCUAACAGGCUGGCUAAGGCCAUCUUUUUGAUUCUGAGGCUUUCAAUGCAUCCUCGAUUUCCUGUGGAUUCCUCAACUUGCCUUUGUAGCUCCACUAUAUCGGUCUCCAGAUCUUUAAUAGAUCUGGUGAUGUCACCUCUGACAUUUAGGGUGUGCUGCUGGCAUAACAACCUUAUUAGUGUCUUACCAUGGUCCCACCACUGCCUAAGAUGAGUAAAAUCACUCUUUUGUUGUCUAAAAAUGUCCCAGAAAUAAACAAAUGCUUCUUUAAAACUCUUAUCAUGGGUUAAAGCAGAGUUAAAAUGCCAGUACCCACUACUUGGUAAAACAUUUCUGAUAAAAACGUCACAUAAAAGCAAACAAUGGUCAGUAAAAACAGCAGGUAAGAUGCGGGACGAGUUAAACACAUUAAAAUGGUGUUUAAAACAAUAAAUACGAUCGAGUCUGGCUGAGGAGAUCUGGCUCUCUCUGAGGUGGGACCAGGUAUACUGUCGGCAGUCUGGGUGCAUCCUUCGCCACACGUCCACCAGGCCGUGGGAGCGGACCAGCUGCUUUAAGGCGUGCUGUGAGGCUGGGUGAGGUUCUGCAUGAUUACGAUCUAAGAUCUCAUUUUCUGUGCAGUUAAAAUCCCCACCCAAGAAUAAAAGAUCCUCCGUAUUGCAGUUUUUUAAAACGUCACUAACAUUCAUAAAAAACUGCCUCCUCUCUGCACCGGUUGCUGGAGCGUAGACGUUGAUAAAAACAGCUUUAAAAUGGUUGAACUGAGCUUUGAUCGUGAUGACAUUUUGGACCUCCAGCGAGUUGGGUUUAAAAGCCCUGGAGAAGAGGAAGCCUACUCCUCCACUAAGAGAAGUGUUGUGACUUAAAAUGGCUUCCCCUUCCCACUCCCUCCUCCAGUCUGCUUCGUUGCUAAAAUCACUGUGCGUCUCUUGGAGUAAAAGGACGUCUAUUUUUUUCAGUUUCAUUGUCUCAUAAAUAUUUGCUCUUUUUUUAAUUUCUCUCGCUCCAUUUAUGUUUAAAACUCCCACUUUAAAACCAUUCAUGAGGUGUUGUGAGAUGUUAAAAACGAGAGUAAAAGCAAAUAAUUUAUGUAAAAAGUCCAUAGUUAUUUUUCUCUUCUUCGCACAGUUCCUUCUUUUCUUUCUUGGUCAGUGAGGCCGGACUCUGCUCUUUGGCUCAUGUGGGCUUUGGCUGAAGUAUAAAACAGACCGAAGUCUGGGAAAUGUUCAACAAUUUUAACCCUGAGUUGAUUUUUUGUCUGUUGUAAAAAAGUUUUGAUUUUUUCUGCACUGUAUAAUUUGGUUUGGCUGUUAAAAUUGGGGAUGUCACUGUUAUCUGACACACAUUCAUCACUGCUUUCAUCCGUGUUUAUUUUCAUCUUAAGUUCAGUCCUGCUAUUUUUUGUUUCAGUUGUGUUUCUGGUUUUCUUUCUACGUUUUGCUGUUACUCUGGGUUUGAUGAAUUCUCCACCAUCUUCCUCCAUCUGUUCAGUUACUGUGAUUUCUGUUUGAUUACUUUCACUGUAUCUGUCUGUCUUUUCUGCCUCUUUAUUUUCUUCCCCUCCCACCUCCACCAAAACACCCUUUAGUGCACCACUGCUCCACUUCAUUUUUUUUGUAUAUUUUUUCAUGAUCGCCCUCUUUCCUUCCUCCCACCACCUGUUCAACCCCCAGUAACCCCCCUGUUUCUACCUGCUCCCCCCCUUCUGGUGCCCCCACUUGCUUACUCACCCCCUUAUCCCGGUCGGACACAGCCGCUGACGUUCCCCGGAGUGUCCGGGGAGCCACAACCGGCUGCCCGGAUGAAGCGGCUCUCCCAGCGGCGGCCGGAGUGCCGGCCGAGCGCGUUGGACCAGGUGUGUUCGGCUCACCGCGGUUCGGACAGGAGCCCACCAUGUGUCCCUCCUCUCCGCAACCGAAACACUUCAUCACCGCUGAACUGGCAUAGAUCAUGUAAUCGUAAUCCUCUACUCUCACCAGGAAUUGGAGGUUGAGCUCCUCUCCCCGGUUAUUGAGUAUCAUGUAUAGCUGUCUGUGGUGAGACACGACGUGUUUCAGCAGCGGAGACUUACAUCCAGACAGGAUCUUAUGGACCGGUGACACCACUUUCCCAUGUCUGGACAGCUCCUUGGUCAGAAAUUCAUCAGUGAUGAAGGGAGGGACAUUGGAUAGAACUAUCCAGUGCGAGCGGCUGCACGGCCACGAAGCAGCCGUUGACGGCGACUCCCGACUCCACCACACGGUUCACCUUUUCCACCUGGUCCAGGAAUAUGACCACGGCACUGUUCAUCCGAGCAGCCGAUCUUAUGCUGCUGUGCCCGACUUUCUCCCCCACAGCCAGACUAAUGUCCUCCACGCUGCAGGGGAAAGUGGCAGUGACUUUAAUCCCGUGUUUGCGGGUUAAAGAUUUGAACUCCGCGUUUGCCAUGGCGUGAGCCACACGGCCGGCGAGACGCCAACACCAGGGUUCAAACCUGUAACCCACGAAACAGCCCACAGAAAGACACCAAAGUGAACUCCUAAUGUGAUCUAGAAACACUACACCCGUGAAGUUACUAUUUAUUAAUGAAUACAAAAUGAAAUAAAGUUCGAAAAAUCCACUCGCUCAAGACACCCACUCACGCACCUCGCUCCCAGCAUGCACUCCGAGAGAGAGAGAGAGAGUGAGAGAGAGUAACAAUCGUAUCUAUCUCCAUAGAUAUGUAGAUAGAUACGAUUGUUACUGACACUUAUCACAGUAUGAUUAUACACGUUUGUAUUUUUAUGGCCUUUUUUUUUUUAAUUUGACACGAGUAGAGCAUACAGUUGUGAAUGCAAAACUGUUUUACUGGGCCGUAAACUUGAACUGUGAACUUACAAAUCCGUCUUUAAGGCAGGUUGGCAUUUACAAAAAGAAGUUGACUGACCCUUGAUGGACUCAGCCUGUUCUUCUGGUCAGAGAUAAUCUGCCCAGUCUUGGAAAAGAUUCUCUCUGAUGGUACAGAUGUAGCCACGAUGCACUACCUGGCCUUCAUCACCACAGAAAGCCGUAUAUAAACUGGGGAGCAUCUCUUUGACCAUGACAGUGAGUCCAACGUGCGAGGUAGGUGUUCCUCAGCCAAGUAACCCCUCAUCUCCAUUAUGAGGUCUGAUGUAGUUGAUAUUGUUCCAGGCCUCCUACAUUCUCAUUCUCUUAUCAAAGUCCUUCCAAAACAUUGCACUUGUGCCAACUGCAGCACCUGAUGCCACCUCUGUCUCUGCAUCACUUUCAGUGGGAGUCAUCGCUGCUGCAGCUGCUAUGACCAUCUUUGCUGUCUCCUCUGCCUCUGCUGGUUGACAAAAGCUUGCUCAGGGAUCCAGGAGAGUUGCAUCAGCAAGCUUGUCGAUGGACUCCACUCUGCCAAAUCAUCUGGUCAUUUCUGACAUCAUGGAGUCGACCAGACUCUUUACAGCGCCGGGGUGCUCUCUUCCCCAUUUCAACCCUUUCGUCCUGCCAGACCUCACACAAAAAUACAUGUGGGCAAUAAGGGGGUAUGAUCCCACUGCAGACCCUGUUCCUGUGGGGUGCCAAGGAGGAUGCUGCAGAACCUGUUCCAUGUGCUGGAGAGAGUCAUUUAUUCUUAUGUUUUGAAAAAAAAAACUUGGUGUCAAACACCAGGCCAAUCUUCAAGAUGGUUUAGACUAUGCCUCAUGAUUCAUAUUGUUGUUAUGCAUAAAUCUAACUAAUUCAGGCAUCAGAGGCUCUGAGGUUGUGCUGGUUUAUAUACAUUUAUACCAUGCAAUGAUGUCCAACCACUUCUUCAUUCAAGCAGUAAAUUGCAUGCAGUUUGUCUGCAAACAGAAAAUUGCAAAAUUUGGUCAAAAUUGUUUAACAGCAUGCCAUGUUUGACACUUUGUUUUAUUUGUAAUAUGUUGGUAAAGUCAAUUAAAUUGACGUUUAAAUCCAACUGCAAUUACAAUUCAAUCGCAGUAUUGCAUGUCGCCAAUAGACGGCGAAACAAAGAACUGUAAGACUAAAGAAAAGAUUAGUUCUUUACUGAAUGAGAGUUAAUGAACUGAGUCACUAAAAUUAACUGUUUUGCCCAUCACUAAUUUGCUGUGGAUCUGAAGCUCUCUGACCUUCUUGUACAGCUCUGGGUGAGUGCUCGGAUCAGGAAUCUUGGCAGUGCUCAAGAGACAAAAUAACAAACCGACUGAUCAGAGUCUUCCUCGAGCACGGGUGCACCUUCAAUCUAAAUCAAGCAAUGGAUGUGUGGAUUUCCUCUGUGCUGGAAUUCCACACGGUAAUAGUCCACUACCUUGCCAAUGGGUUGUGCAGGAGUGAGGAUGAGAUCUCAGAGGAGUGACUCAACACAUUUGACAAACAUGCACUUGGUCUUGAUAAAAGUGAAUGAGAUGGAAUAUAGUAAAACUAGAGAGCCAUCACAAAUGAACAUGUCAGGCCUCCUCACUGCUUGAGUUCCAUACAGCCUUAGGAAAACUCUUUGGAAUGCCUGCAGGAAGCAUGUCCCUGAUGCUGUGUGUAUGAUGCAACAGGCAGGGUAGAUGCGCCUUUAGUGGGAUUUCUCACCACAACUUCAUAGAUUUAAUAUGGUUGACCUCUGGCACAUUCUGUAUUAUGCUUUCUGUUGCAUCCAAAUACACAGCAUCGUUCUUACAUCUCUUGUACUACACGGCAAGUGUCUUUUUAGACCAUGGCAUUAUGCCUUUAGGAUGCAUUAUUACUUUCUUCAGAACCUCUGAGUCUGAGCCUCUAUGUUGGCGCAAUAGUGCAUGCAGAAUGAGCAACUCGUUUGGGUGGGCCCUAUUUUCUUAGGGCCUCUUUUGUGGGCACUCCAUCCCUGCAGACAGGUUGGACAAUGUCCUCAGUUUUUCCCAAUGGACCCCAGAUAAAUACUCAGAUGAAGCUGUCUAAUAUCUUCAUAUUCACAGUGCAAAUGUGCUCGUACGGGUCGUCCUUUCAGUUCAGUGUGCUGUGGCACACAUCACCACAUCAGCUUUCAGGGUGUGCUCAUCUUUUAUGUCGAUGGUGAAGGUGACAGGGCAAUCCUCAGAAAUCCUCAAAUCGGCAAUAACCAGAGCAUUUAAAAAGUGAACUGGUUUUAGGGGAGUGUAAUGUUUUCAAUGAGUGCUGUUUAAAUGCAAAGCUGCAGUGUGGAUGGACUGUUUUAAUUCCUUUUGAAACAACAUUAGUCCAUUGCAGCCCAGUAAAGCCUCGUCCUUUUUGAGUUUUCCUUCAGUCAAGCCAUUCCUUUGUGUCGAACGUGGCAUUUGACGUGUGAAAAACUGUUCUUUAUCACUGGUGAAAUGGGUGGAGUGAAAGUGAAGGGCUGUUUGGUCACGGACGCCUGCGUCUGUGACGUGGAUAUGAUGAAAAAUAAUAUCUCCUCAAAAGUUUGGGCACCACCUGAAAUAUAGUUCUCAGGAGACUAUUAAGCUCUCUUGAUUAACACUGAGUAAUUAACUGUAGUAAAUUAAUUAAUAAUUAGCUAAAUCAAUCUUUUUAUCUGAAGUCACUACUUCAGUUGUGAUGUAAUGUCCUUUACUGAUCAGAGGCUCUUAGAUUAUAAUACACUCCAAAGUAACGUGAUCAAGACCCAACGUAAUUUAGUAAAUUUAUUUAAGAAUAAAAGAACAGAAAGAAACAGCAAAGAUGCAAAAGUAGAAUGAGAUGAUCCCGACAAUAUCGCCAUGGAAACGCAAACCAGUGAUAAGGCAAUGUCAGUGCUGUAUCAGACACGUGUGUAACUGAUGGGAAAGUUAAGACGUUCUAGUCUAACUGUCAACCUCAGGCAAGUAAUGAUAUUACUAAACCCCAACACACCAAUCUGUGCAGAGAUGACAAGCAGCGGCUUGAGUUGACGAUGGUGAUGAGUGGAGGGAUGAAUGGGAUAGAUGGAUGGAUGAGAGGGUGAUGAGUAUAUGCAGAAAGUCGGUCAGUAGAUGAGGGAGGAGGCAGGCGGCUUUGGAGGGAGGCGUCCUGGUUCUCAGCGAGGUGACUUGGAGACGAUGAGGACCCGCAGCUUCCAGGUGUGGAUGGGACUCUCGGAUCGUCUUCUGGACCGUUGAGGAUCUUUCGUCGCAGACGGGGUGAUCAUAGCUGGCAGAGAACGGCGUAGGACCAAAGGCGUAUCUUUAUCUCGUGCCAGGUGACUCACCGGUCUGAACAACCUUCUAGAGUGGUCGCCUUAAUGACCCACUCCAGGUAGCGGAAGGUUGUUGGAAGUUGGACUCGCGCGCUCGUCACGGCUGCCGGCUGCGAUCACGUGGUGUGACUGGGCCGUUCCUGAAGGAAGCUCUGGCUUGGCAGACCGCUGGAGGACGAGGGCGACGUGCAACUUUGAAGAAGUUCCUCAAUCACUCUCACACUUGGAUGUGCAGCGAGUGGAGCGCUGGCACGGCUUCAAGGGUGGAGGAGAAGCAGGAGUCUUUGCAGGAAACUUGAGCAGGAACCGUCGAGGGAGUUGGUUGUAGUUGGUUGUAGGAGGCUAAGGAGCCAGAAGAAGUGGCAGAAGCAGGGCUGAAGCUCUGUAGACCAGGUCUUUUAAACUCUGAUGAGGGGUCUCAAGGAGUCCCAUCACCUAUUGCUGAUUGGACGAGAGUUUCCAAGCCGUCCUCCUCCUCCUCCUCCUCCCCUGACGAGGUUGUAAAUUCCAGUCUGCAGAUGGGAGAUUUAAAUCCUCCCAGUACCAGGGUUUUAUUUGACAAUAAAACAUUACCUGAGUUGUAAAGUUGCUCACAAUCUGUCAAAACUUUCCCAUCUUGAUUUAAGUAUUCAAACGAGACCAAACAUGACCAUUCUAUCACAUGAUCUUCCAUACUGAUCAAUAUAACAAUCGACCAUUCAUGUCAAUGUUAACAUCACAUGUUCAGGGCAUCUGGUCUGCUGAAGCAUCUGGUGAGAACCACGGGUUAGAUGGGAAACAAAGUCCUGUUUCAGGAAGGUACGUGAAGAAACAUCAACAUACAAGUCUGUCUUUGUCCAUCUGUGACCUGGAAAAUAGGGAGCUGUGAAUGACCCCCCGCCCCAUCACUGGGUUCAAGAGUUGGUCAGGGUUUUCCCCCUUUGACACCAUCUUGGAAUGUCCUCUGGUCUCUCCCCCCUUUGAGCACUCAACCAAUUUAUGGUCCUUAUCUGAGGAUUCACAACUCAACUGAUCAUGGCAUGGCAGGAACCUGAGGAGAAUGUCACUGAAUUGAGGUUACACAUUCACGAAAAGUUCACCAGGCAUCCACGCUUUAGAGAAGGAGUCACUACAUGGGUCCAUGUCAUUACCCUAUAAAUAAUGAAUAAAAGAAUUAUGAAAUUAAAUUCCCAACAAUACCUUUACCAUUAAGACUAGACAUUCAGGCUCCUGCCUUGGCGAAGGCAAUAAACUGUCUCCUACAUCAAGGUCAACCUUUAUAAAUGUGCGCCCAGGAAGGCACGGCCUAGUAUGCAUAACAUCCCUCGUCUUCCACAACUCAGCCUCUUUUUCCACUCAGCGUGCGACUUGCCACAACCCUCCGUUUACAGUUCUCGUAAAAAAAAAAAAAAAAUUGGCCGAGAAAGUAAUGUGACUUCCCGUUGGAGGCUGUAGACCAGCACGAUGCCUGUGUUGCGUGCCUGGGCUCACAACACCUCCAUCUCCCGCAUGUUUGGCCUUGCCUGAGCAAGUGUGCCGCAUGCGGGCAAGCGUCAAAUCGUGGGACAGUGGGACUCCUCAGAGUCCGUCCUUCCACGCCAGCCCGAUGGGGCUGGUUUGGGCCGACGCAACCA